UACGAAGGGUGCUAGCGUUGUUCGGAAUCACUGGGCGUAAAGCGCGCGUAGGCGGCUUACCAAGUCAGGGGUGAAAUCCCACGGCUCAACCGUGGAACUGCCUUUGAAACUGGUAAGCUAGAGUGUCGGAGGGGAUAGCGGAAUUGCUAAUGUAGAGGUGAAAUUCGUAGAUAUUAGCAGGAACACCGGUGGCGAAGGCGGCUAUCUGGACGACAACUGACGCUGAGGCGCGAAAGCGCGGGGAGCAAACAGG
rnacentral:rRNA from 1 species